UGAGUAACCUGCCCUUAACUCUGGGAUAAGCCUGGGAAACUGGGUCUAAUACCGGAUAUGACUCCUCAUCGCAUGGUGGGGGGUGGAAAGCUUUUUGUGGUUUUGGAUGGACUCGCGACCUAUCAGCUUGUUGGUGAGGUAAUGGCUCACCAAGGCGACGACGGGUAGCCGGCCUGAGAGGGUGACCGGCCACACUGGGACUGAGACACGGCCCAGACUCCUACGGGAGGCAG
rnacentral:rRNA from 1 species